rnacentral:rRNA from 1 species
GGUUAAACAAAGAAUACAAAUAAAUUUUAUAAAUAUAUAAGUUAAAUUGAAUUUAUUUAAUAAAUAAAAAAAAAUUAGGUGAAAUUUUAUUUUUUUUUUAUUAAUAUAAAAAAUUAUAUUGAAACUUAAAAAUUUUAUUUUUAAACUAGGAUUAGAUACCCUAUUAUUUAAUUAUUUAAAAAAUAUAGAAAUUAGAGUAGUAAUAGUUAUGAUCUUGAAACUCAAAAAAUUUGGCGGUAUUUUAGUCUAUUCAGAGGAACCUGUAAUGUAAUCGAUAAUCCACGAUGGAUCUCACUUAAUUUUGUAAUUUAAUUUGUAUAUCGCCGUUAUUUAAAAAUUUUAUAARAAAAAUAAUUUUUUAAAAUUUUUAUUAAAAAAUAAAUCAGGUCAAGGUGCAGUUUAUGAUUAAGUUUUAUAUGGGUUACAAUAAAUUUAUUUAUACGGACUAAAAAAUGAAAUAUUUUUAARAAGGUGGAUUUGACAGUAAAUUUUUAAAGAUAAAAAAAUUGAUUUUAGCUCUAAAAUAUGUACAC